GACGACGCUGGCGGCGUGGAUUAGGCAUGCAAGUCGAACGGUAUCAUCCUUCGGGGGUGAGAGAGUGGCGAACUGGUGAGUAACACGUAGGUUAUCUACCCUCAAGACGGGGACGAACCCAGGGAAACUUGGGCGUAAUACCGGAUGUGAGCAACUUUUAGUUGUUUGAAAGGUGGCGUAAGCUGUCGCUUGGGGAGUGAGCCUGCGUCCUAUUAGUUAGUUGGUGAGGUAACGGCUCACCUAGGCAAUGAUAGGUAGGCGGCCUUAACGGGUGGUCGCCCACACUGGGAUUGAGAUACGGCCCAGACUCCUACGGGAGGCAGCAGUCGAGAAUAGUCUACAAUGGUCGGAAGACUGAUAGUGCGACGCCGCGUGAACGAUGAAUCCCUUCGGGGUGUAAAGUUCUUUUAUAUGUGAGCAGUGCUUCUUAUAUUAACAGUAUGGGGAGAGAGAUAUUAGCAUAUGAAUAAGCAACGGCUAACUCCGUG
rnacentral:rRNA from 1 species